UUAACUAGGGUGGGAUUUAUGCUCCCCGUUCAGUGAAGGGCAGUGGCUACCGGCAGGGUGCAGGCAGGCUCCCUGCGUUGACUCUCGCUUCCUGUCACACUGUGGUUAUCACCGUGACGGACCCUUGACAUUAACAAGUCUUCGACUGAAGAACUGAUGGGACCUGCAGCCGUUGAGGGGAAGCGUGGUGGCCCUGCGGAGCGCCUCGGCGGGGCUAGAAGGAUGGCACUGCGGUCAGGCACCUCCGCCGCCCCGAGUGGGCCUCCCUCUCAAGAAUGCAAGCUCUGUGAGAGCAGGGUCGUUAUCUAUUUUAAGGCUGUAUCACCAAUGCCUGGGUCAUGUCAUAUUCCCUUGGAGUUACUUUUGCAACCAAAGCAUUUAGUAUAGGAGAUAUUUAAAACACUGCAGCUUGUUAAAUCGCCUCACCUGUAACCUACAGUCUAUCAUGCUUCUGAGUGUGAAACAUGUUACCUAGUGUUUUGUUUUAAAUACCCCAACUCUGCAAACUCUUGUGGUAAAAAUGCACUAGCAACUAUAGGUGGAUCAUUAUGUCUUUUUGAGAUUUUUUUAAACAAAGAGACAAAUAAUUUCUUUGCCUAUCUCUUGUCUCCUACCCCUCCCAUUCCUUCACACACAAAAGACGUAAAGGACCCUUUACAGACAUGUAAAAAUACAAAAAAUAAAAUUAGCCAGGCAUAGCACACUUAUAAGCCCAGCUCUUCGGGAGGCUGAGGCAUGAGAAGCUGAGGCAUGAGAAUGGCUUAAACCCCAGAGGCAGAGGUUGCAAUGAGCCAAGAUCACACCACUGCACUCCAGUCUGGACAGCAGAACAAGACUCCAUCUCAAAACAAAACAACAGCAGAAAAAAGACAUCGUUUUGUAUAGGAAGUAAGAAUAGUAAACCAAAACGGUCAAAAUGUUUCAGAAUGCUACCUAGGAGCAAAAGAAUAAUAAUAAAGUUUGUUUUGUUUUGUUGGAUACUGUUUUACAUUUGAUUCCAUAGAGCCUUUUUGAGGGAACAUAAUAUCACAAUUUCACAACCAAAACCCAUUAUGUUUUUAUCUUUAACACCUGCCUAUCCUCCCACACAGAACUUCCUCUUUAGUUUAAGAAUAUGACACUUUAAAUUAUUAUGAAGUUACUAUUCAUUAUCAAACGAGAUAAUAUGACAUUGUCUACUAUAUCCAUCUACUGUCUUCAGAAUCAUCGCAGUCUACCAUUCAACAUUUGAAAACCAGUAAAUUGGAAAGUUAAUUAUAAUAUAUAAUAAAUAGCAUGACAGGAAAAAAUAUAAGCACCCUAAAAAAAUUGCAUUUGUUUAUAAAGAACUGACAAACUUGAUAAUUAAUGAAUAUAAGAAUAUUUUUAUCGAAAUAAAACACUUGGUGAAACAUAGAUCAGCAAAUCCGAGCCUCACAUUUAACAGAUGAGGAGGGAACUACUGUCUAGAGAAGGUAGAAUAUUUACUCACUAUCCAGGAACAGACAUGGACCAGAACUCGGGCCAUCUGUGUUCUAAAUCAGAGUGUUGGAGUUUUCUGUUGCCUCCCAAUUUCCACAAGCAAAUUGGAGUCAAUGACAACAAUUCAGCAAAGGGAUAUGGAAUAGAUAGAAAUAUAGCUAAUUUCAGCUAUUAGAAGUUUAUUCCAUUAAUCGUUUAAUAAAAUAUUCCAACUUAAUUAGUUGAUAUUCCAUAGGGAAUUUGGAUUCAGCCCUACUAAAUGAUCUAAUUAUUUUGAAAUAAGAAGCAACAAUAAUUCAGUGAACACAUUUGAAAAUGUUAUUUGUUCAGUAGUCUCGAAUAAAUGGAAGCUGCUUCCUGCCAGGACAAGUCUGACCAUCGUAAGGCUUCCAGCCAUCCUAAGGACUGAAGGAGUCAAUAUCUCAUUGCCUUUGUAACCCAUCUGCAGCACACAUACACCUCAUUAAUUAGUAAUGUUUGAAGUUAAAUCAAGAAAUGUUUAGAGCACAGAAUAAUUAUCUAAUAAAGUUCUUGUAGAGCUUAGGCAUUAGCCAAAAGACUCAGGCAAAUAAAGUGAAAGGUUAUUAUUUGGAAAGAACAGUGAUAUACUAAUUCAGAUUCUUUGGGCUACCAAAGACAAAAACUCUGAGUAAAACUAGCUUAAACAAUAGAUACAUUUAUCAUUUCACAUCGCAAGUCCAGAGAUAAGACAGUCUUCAAUUAUAGCUCACCAACCUCAUCAAGAGCCCAACUUACCUCUCUCCACUCUUCAGUCCUCUAUAUGAACAAUUUCCCAAAGCUUAGACUACCAUAUGGUCAAAAGUUGGCUGCAGCAGGGGAGGAAGAAGGAACUUACUCUUCUGUGUCUCUUUCUUGAGAGCAGAGGAGGUCCUUCUCAGAAAUUCCUGGUUAGAACUCUCCUUAGGUCUCAUUUACUAAAGCUGUGUUUUGCAAUUUAUACACCAGUCACUGGAAAUGAAAAUGAGGUCACAAUUGAGACAGAGUAGGAAGGGGGCUUGGCUUCACCUCACCCCCACUAGAACAUUCUUUCAUGCAUCCUCAUUGACCACAAAACCUCCAGCAUUACCUCACUGAUGCCGUGAUGUUUUAACCAUGCCUUUUACUUAAAGAAUUCCAGGAACUAGGCUAGGCAUAAUGGCUCAUACCUGCAAUUCCAGCACUUUGAGAGGCCAAGGCAGGAGAAUUGC